rnacentral:rRNA from 1 species
AUUCCAGCUCCAGUAGCGUAUAUUAAAGUUGUUGCUGUUAAAAAGCUCGUAGUUGGAUUUCUGAUAGUAGCGUUGGGCCCGCCCGGGUUACCGGUGUGAGUGCCUGUUCGCUCCUUUCAUCCUUCUAGAGAACGGUUCUUUCCUUCAUUGGCAGUGGGAUCGCAAUCUAGAUCUUUUACUUUGAAAAAAUUAGAGUGUUUAAAGCAGGCUUGUGCUAUGAAUACAUUAGCAUGGAAUAAUAAUUUAGGACUUUAGUUCUAUUUUGUUGGUUUCUAGAACUGAAGUAAUGAUUGAUAGGGAUAGUUGGGGGUGCUAGUAUUCAGCGGCCAGAGGUGAAAUUCUUGGAUUCGCUGAAGACUAACUUAUGCGAAAGCAUUCACCAAGGAUGUCUUCAUUA